rnacentral:rRNA from 1 species
GACGAACGCUGGCGGCGUGCUUAACACAUGCAAGUCGAACGGAACGGCCCUGCUUUUUUGGGGUGCUCGAGUGGCGAACGGGUGAGUAACACGUGAGUAACCUGCCCUUGACUUUGGGAUAACUUCAGGAAACUGGGGCUAAUACCGGAUAGGAGCUCCUGCUGCAUGGUGGGGGUUGGAAAGUUUCGGCGGUUGGUGAUGGACUCGCGGCGUAUCAGCUUGUUUGUGGGGGAGUGGCUUACCAAGGCUUUGACGGGUAGCCGGCCUGAGAGGGUGACCGGCCACAUUGGGACUGAGAUACGGCCCAGACUCCUACGGGAGGCAGCCGUGGGGAAUAUUGCACAAGGGGCGGAAGCCUGAUGCAGCAACGCCGCGUGCGGGAUGACGGCCUGCGGGUUGUAAACCGCUUUCGCCUGUGACGAAGCGUGAGUGACGGUAACGGGUAAAGAAGCACCGGCUAACUACGUG